UACGGAGGGUGCAAACGUUGCUCGGAAUCAUUGGGCGUAAAGCGCACGUAGGCGGACUGUUAAGUCGGAUGUGAAAUCCCUCAGCUUAACUGAGGAAGUGCACUCGAAACUGGCAGUCUUGAAUAUGGAAGAGGGUCGCGGAAUUCCCGGUGUAGAGGUGAAAUUCGUAGAUAUCGGGAGGAACACCAGUGGCGAAGGCGGCGACCUGGGCCAAUAUUGACGCUGAGGCGCGAAAGCGUGGGUAGCAAACAGG
rnacentral:rRNA from 1 species